rnacentral:lncRNA from 1 species
GUAGGACUGGGGCAGGAACGGAAGGCAUCUUUCCAUAGAUCUAGGGAGAAGUUUUCGGCUCUAAAAGGAACUUUGUUUGUCUCUGCGUUUAUCAGAUCGGUGGGAUCUGGGUUUCCUAGCGGGCCAAGACAUUGGAGGUAAGGUUGAUCGGUAGGAAUAAUGAUCUUAUCGGCCAGAUCCUAGAAGUUUUUGAGGGAAAAAAGAAGAACAAAAAGAAAAAGGAAUAUUCAGUAAGACAAAUUGUGGAUGAACAGGAGUACAGUAAAAGUGUAGGAGAAAGGGUGGUAAGCUGACCUCAGGAACGACGAAGUUGAUGGCCAUCUCCUCGCAGGGAAGAAGAUCGAAGACUUGGGGGUUGGUGAAGAAAGACCUUUGUUGAAGUUCUUGGAAUCCUCGGGUAAUGCCGCCGCUGAAAAAGUGGAUUUUGGGCUGUAAAAUGACGAGGUGGAGAAGGAG